UAGCCUCGUUCGGAUCACAGAAACGGGUUUUCAGUAUGCAAUCCGACAACAUUCCGUGCGCACAUUUCUAUAUAUCCACGACGAACGGCAGGUAGUGAAGAUGAGCCAAUAAGCAAUAAACGGACUUACUUAAACUGGACGAGAAAUUUACAAACAAAACACAAGAAAAAGCUUGUUUACCGGAACGGAUAAAACAAUUACGCAAUCUGUGAUUUGCUCUUGAGAAAACAGAUACGUACGUCGUCUGCUCCGUCUGAACGGGAAACCGAAGCAAAAGUGAAAUGGCAGGUGGAUCGUUUCAAUUCACGGCCAGUUGCAUUGCGAUCGCUGUAAUUGCCCAAGUCUCUUUCCAUUUGGUGCGUCCGCAAA